AAUUAGUUAUUUUUGUGUUUGGAUGGAUGGAUCAUUGCCUACGUACCCUCUCAUGAAAGAUAAGGAUCAAAACCUCGUAGUUCGGGUAACAAAUUUCAAAACAGUGAAUGGAUUGGUUUUAAACAAAAGCCUUAAGGUCUUUCAUUAUCAAAGGGAGAAAACUCGACCUGAACAACCACAAGUCCACCAUGUGAGAACAGCUUCGACAUGCUAGUGAGGGAUUAUGCCCU
rnacentral:lncRNA from 1 species